rnacentral:rRNA from 1 species
ACAGCAGUCGCCACGGUAAUACGGAGGGGGCUAGCGUUGUUCGGAAUUACUGGGCGUAAAGCGCACGUAGGCGGCUUGGUAAGUUAGAGGUGAAAGCCUGGAGCUCAACUCCAGAAUUGCCUUUAAGACUGCCGAGCUAGCAGGUGAGAGAGGUAAGUGGAAUUCCGAGUGUAGAGGUGAAAUUCGUAGAUAUUCGGAAGAACACCAGUGGCGAAGGCGGCUUACUGGCUCAUACUGGACGCUGAGGUGCGAAAGCGUGGGGAGCAAACAGGAUUAGAUACCCCCGUAGUCCCUGUCUCUUAUAC